AUGAUAAAAGCUCUGUCAAAUUCUCUUGGCGUCCUAAUUGAAGACCCGGGUGAUCUUAACCAGAUGGUUAAUGAUUUCUAUCAGACUCUGUACACGUCCGAGGGGAUCACCGGACUUGAUAAUGUUUUGAUGCAUGUUCCACGUAAGGUUACGACAGGGAUGAACAAUAUUUUAUGCGCACCUUACACCACUGAAGAGGUAAAAGUUGCGCUUUUCCAGAUGUUCCCAACAAAGUCGCCUGGUCCAGAUGGCUUCCCGGCUCACUUCUAUCCUGAUCUAUUUGCGGGGAGGAGAUCACUAGGGCUGUCCUCAGAAUUGUCAGAGGAGAAGAGAGUGCAAAGAGCAUAA
rnacentral:rRNA from 1 species